CUAUAAGUAUGAACGCAACUAUCGUCGGCGGAGAGAGAAUGAAUGAGCCUUUCGGAGAUCGCUAAUAUUUUGGUUGUUAGCGAAAAAACUAACAAAAAGAAGUAUAUUCCUCAUACCCUUGACCGCUCCCUAAUCACUCAACCCCACCGAAUAACUACGCGCCAGCAGCGGCGAUAAUACGUAGGGAGGCAAGCGCUAUUCCAGAAUUUUUUGGGCGUAUAAGCGCGCGAAGGCGGUUUUUUUAAGUCUGAUGUGAAAAGCCCCACGGCUCACCCCUGGAGGGUCAUUGGAAACUCGGGAACUUGAGUGCAGAAAGAGAAAAAGCGGAAUUCCACGCGUAGCGGUGAAAUGCGUAGAGAUGUGGAGGAACACCAGUGGUGAAGGCGGCUUUUUGCUCUGUAACUGACGCUGAGGCGCGAAAGCGUGGGGAGCAAACAGGAUUAGAUACCCUGGUAGUCCACGCCGUAAACGAUGAGUGUUAAGUGUUAGAGGGUUUCCGCCCUUUAGUGCUGCAGCUAACGCAUUAAGCACUCCGCCUGGGGAGUACGGUCGCAAGACUGAAACUCAAAGGAAUUGACGGGGGCCCGCACAAGCGGUGGAGCAUGUGGUUUAAUUCGAAGCAACGCGAAGAACCUUACCAGGUCUUGACAUCCUCUGACAACUCUAGAGAUAGAGCGUUCCCCUUCGGGGGACAGAGUGACAGGUGGUGCAUGGUUGUCGUCAGCUCGUGUCGUGAGAUGUUGGGUUAAGUCCCGCAACGAGCGCAACCCUUGAUCUUAGUUGCCAGCAUUAAGUUGGGCACUCUAAGGUGACUGCCGGUGACAAACCGGAGGAAGGUGGGGAUGACGUCAAAUCAUCAUGCCCCUUAUGACCUGGGCUACACACGUGCUACAAUGGAUGGUACAAAGGGCUGCAAGACCGCGAGGUCAAGCCAAUCCCAUAAAACCAUUCUCAGUUCGGAUUGUAGGCUGCAA
rnacentral:rRNA from 1 species